CUUUUGAUGAUUUGUUUAAAUUUUAACUCCAGAAAAAAUAUUUUUCAUAAACGGAUAAAGUUUUUUCCAUUUCUGGAUCAGUGAUAGUUAGUGUGGUAGAAAGACUCAAGGCAACCUGAAGGCAAGCUGCAAUGGGUCCCCUGCCUUCCACCCUUGCGCUGUCUCCUGGUCCUAGCAGACAGCCUCCUAUGUGCAAAAGUAGCAUUUUAUUUGCAUCUUUCCAUGGACUUUGGAAAACAAGAGUGCACUAGGUUCACAUUUACAAAAGUCCAUCAUUAAUAAGGCCUGAAUACAUUCUUUAAAAAAAUUAAAUUUAGGAUUCUGUAGAAUUGAGCUGCAGUCACCCAGUGUUUGUAGUGCAGAAGUUGCUUCAAAUCUUGGCCAACAAUAAGCCUGCACUAAGUGGCUGAAGUAAGGAGAGUUACUAAACACCUAUAUUUUUUAUUUAUUUGCCUCUAGCUUUCCAUCCCUUUCCAGCAGGGUAAGCCUUCCAGAUUAUAUUGCAGUCAGUCAUACAAGUUCUGAAAAUAAUGUUACAAUCUGAUCUUCAAGUCAGCAAGUCAAGAGUUUAAUGAUAAAUGCAAAGCUUUUUGAAUGAUUUCCAGGAUUGUUUUACUUGUCUAAUAAUGAACUAUAGCAAGCAUAACUAUUUCAUUACAUUUUUUUGAGAAACAGAGGGGGAGGGUUGCCUUAUCAGGCCUGAGUUAAAGCACACCUGCCAAAACACAGAUUUCAGUAGCUAUGAAGAGAACAAAGCAUGAUUAUACUGCCAACAUUGGCAUGUCUGCAACUGAUUUAACUGGAGCUAUGACCCUGAACACAAAAGCUUCAACUUUAGAGGCAACUUGAGGGGAGUAUUUUUGUGAUUUUACAUGCAUACAGUUAAAGAUAUGGCACUUACUUGCAGCAAAAGCAAUGUAUGUUGGAAGAAAGCAAAGAGGGGUUACAAUCAGAAGUUGUCAGAAAGGCUAAAACUGGACUCUGCUUUUUGGCAAGACGCAGCCACUGGGAACCUUGGUGAGAGCAAGUUCCAUGAAGAAACCCAACUGGCAAAGUUCCAAGAUGGAGCCAGAGCAAAGAAAUUUACAGCCACAGCAGUAAAACAGUUCCCCUGUGACUUAAGAUGUGACUAUAUAUUACAAGAAAAAUGGGGCAAUCACUGGGGGAGGGAAGCAAGUAAAGCCAAAAUAACAAUCAGAGCAGGAUUUUAUUUUUAAGAGUCAGGCAAGGAGACAAAAGGGGCAAAAUGCAAUCCUCUCUAAAUAAAAACUAAUAUAUCAGCAUUAAAGUUGUGCAUUUAAACAUAACCUUUGAUUCUCAUACCAAUGGCAACAGUAGUGCUAAAUUAAAGUGUGUUCCAGUAAGCAUUAGUGUUGUAUUGUUGUUCUGAUAGUGAACUAAUACUUGGAAGUUAGCUUUAUUGCAUGUGACAUGCUGUUUUAACUAAAGAUCUUUGCUUUUCAGUGUCAGUACUAUGAGGAAAUACCAUAUACUUGAACACCCUUUAUUUUAAAUUAUGUAUAUGUGCAUUUUGAAUUUCUCUUCACUUGUUAGUAUCUACACUAGAUGUAAAUGAAGGUCAAAGACACUGCAACAUUUAAAAGGUGAAUAAAUCAAAUUCAGUCUAUA